rnacentral:rRNA from 1 species
UACGAAGGGGGCGAGCGUUGUUCGGAUUUACUGGGCGUAAAGGGCGCGUAGGCGGUUUGUACAGUCAGAUGUGAAAUUCCUGGGCUCAACCUGGGGGCUGCAUUUGAUACGUGCGGACUUGAGUGAGGAAGAGGGUCGUGGAAUUCCCAGUGUAGAGGUGAAAUUCGUAGAUAUUGGGAAGAACACCGGUGGCGAAGGCGGCGACCUGGUCCUUGACUGACGCUGAGGCGCGAAAGCGUGGGGAGCAAACAGG